rnacentral:rRNA from 1 species
UACGGAGGAUGCAAGCGUUAUCCGGAAUGAUUGGGCGUAAAGCGUCCGCAGGUGGCAAUGUAAGUCUGCUGUCAAAGCGUCUGGCUCAACCAGAUAAAGGCAGUGGAAACUACAUAGCUAGAGUAAGGUAGGGGUAGAGGGAAUUCCUGGUGUAGCGGUGAAAUGCGUAGAGAUCAGGAAGAACACCGGUGGCGAAAGCGCUCUGCUGGACCUUAACUGACACUG